GCCAGCCCGCUCAGAAACUUAAAGGAAAUUGACGGGGCCCGCGACAAGCGGAGGAGCAUGUGGUUUAAUUCGAUGAUACGCGAGGAACCUUACCUGGGCUCGAACGUAAGAUGACUGUAGGUGAAAGCUUACAUCUCUUCGGAGCAUUUUACGAGGUGCUGCAUGGUUGUCGUCAGCUCGUGCCGUGAGGUGUCGGGUUAAGUCCCAUAACGAGCGCAACCCUACCUUUAGUUGCCAUCAGGUAAUGCUGGGGACUCUAAAGGAACUGCCUACGCAAGUAGUGAGGAAGGCGGGGAUGACGUCAAAUCAGCACGGCCCUUACGUCCAGGGCUACACACGUGCUACAAUGGCCGAUACAGAGGGCAGCUACCUGGUGACAGGAUGCAAAUCUCCAAAGUCGGUCUCAGUUCGGAUCGGAGUCUGCAACCCGACUCCGUGAAGUUGGAUUCGCUAGUAAUCGCGCAUCAGCCAUGGCGCGGUGAAUACGUUCCCGGGCCUU
rnacentral:rRNA from 1 species